CGACAUGUUUGUCGGUGGUGAUUCCGUUUGCAAUCAGAGAAGCUAUCGCCCACGCCAGACAAGAGUCCGGUAUCCCCACCACUGAGUGGUUCGAUAUUGCUGGUCCUUGCUCCAUCGAGAACAUUUGCUUGGCCA